rnacentral:tRNA from 2 species
GCGGACGUAGUUCAGCUGGUAGAACACAACCUUGCCAAGGUUGGGGUCGCGGGUUCGAGUCCCGUCGUCCGCUCCA